GUGGGGAAUUUUGGACAAUGGGGGCAACCCUGAUCCAGCCAUUCCGCGUGAGUGAAGAAGGCCUUCGGGUUGUAAAGCUCUUUCGGCAGGAACGAAACGGUGAGCUCUAACAUAGCUCGCUAAUGACGGUACCUGAAGAAGAAGCACCGGCUAACUACGUGCCAGCAGCCGCGGUAAUACGUAGGGUGCGAGCGUUAAUCGGAAUUACUGGGCGUAAAGCGUGCGCAGGCGGUUGUGUAAGACAGGUGUGAAAUCCCCGGGCUUAACCUGGGAACUGCGCUUGUGACUGCACGGCUAGAGUAUGGCAGAGGGGGGUGGAAUUCCACGUGUAGCAGUGAAAUGCGUAGAGAUGUGGAGGAACACCGAUGGCGAAGGCAGCCCCCUGGGCCAAUACUGACGCUCAUGCACGAAAGCGUGGGGAGCAAACAGGAUUAGAUACCCCAGUAGUCC
rnacentral:rRNA from 1 species